GUACUGUUGGUGUGGCCAUGCCCACUAGCUCGUCUCCCAAUAAGAAACGCAGCGCCAUUACUCUCUUACUCCUUCCCCUUUUUCUUCGCUCAUUCCCUUUGACUCCCAUUAUUCUACCCAUUUCCAACCCCAAAUGAACCUCUGAUUCCUCUUCCUCCUCCAAAACGAAGCUGAUUAUGGAUGAUUAUGAAGCUACAAGAAUCGUGUUCUCAAGGGUUCAAAAUCUCGACCCUGAAAAUGCCUCGAAAAUCAUGGGCCUCCUCCUCCUCCAAGAUCAUGGCGAAAAAGAAAUGAUCCGAUUAGCUUUUGGCCCUGAAUCUCUAAUCCAUUCGUUGAUUCUCAAGGCCAAAACAGAGCUGAACUUGAACCCAUCUUCUUGUUCUUCAAGACCCAGAAUCAAUCUCCCACCUCUUUCGAUUCCAAUCCCAAAUCCAAACUUUUCAAAUCACCCAGACGGAGGAGCUGAUUUUGUUGACGAGUUUCAGAUUCAAGAUCACCUCUGUUUCCUCACCGACGGCUCUGUAAAUGAAAACCCAGAUUUCUUUUACACUAAUCCGGCAGAUUUCCUGGCCAGUCCGACCGACGGCGAUGUGCUGUACGGUGGGGGUAAUUGGGCUGAGGAAGCAGGGUUGGGGCUUGGAUGGCGGCCGUGUUUGUAUUAUGCGAGAGGGUUUUGUAAGAAUGGAAGUGGAUGUAGGUUUUUUCACUCUGGCGGCGGUGAGGUGAGUUUGAUGGCUGAUGGCGGCGGUGGAAGGGCGGAAAUGGUGGAGCACUGUUCUGAUGGUCUUCUUCUCCGGUCGAAAUCGGGUUUGCAGCAGAGAUUGGGAAUGGGUUGUUCUGCUAAUAGUAACGGUAACUUUUUUCCAUAUUCGCCGACGGCGGCGUCUGAUUUGCUUCUUCAACAACAGCAAAACGAAAUGCGAAGAGCGGCGGUGGGUUUAUCCAUGGCGGAGGAAUCAGGCAACACAGGGAGAUUCCGGCUGGAAAGAACGGAUUUUUGCGGCGGAGGAAUGGGGAAUCCGGCAGCCAGACAAAUAUACUUGACAUUUCCAGCCGACAGCAGUUUCAAAGAGGAGGAUGUGUCCAAAUAUUUCAGCAUUUAUGGACCAGUUCACGAUGUAAGAAUCCCAUAUCAGCAGAAGAGGAUGUUUGGCUUUGUGACUUUCGUGUACGCAGACACGGUUAAGCUUAUCCUGGCUAAGGGCAACCCUCACUUUGUCUGUGAUUCUCGUGUUCUUGUUAAGCCUUAUAAGGAGAAGGGCAAAGUCCCUGACAAGUUCAGGAAACAACAACAAAUGGAUAGGGGAGAUUUCUCUUCACCAACUGGUCUCGAUUCUAGAGACCUUCACGAUCUCCAUCUCGGAGCAAGAAUGUUUUACAACACUCAAGACAUGCUAUGGAGGAGGAAACUAGAGGAACAAGCUCUUGAGCUUCAAGCUUUAAGAGUAAUGAGUUUGCAACUUUCUGAUGUUAAAAAGCCUCACCAUCAGCAAACUCCUCUUCCAAUUUGCAGCCCAAUUCCUUCCCCUACUAACUCUCCUAAUCCCUUCAAUCAAGCCCUUCUUUUCCAUUCAAUUCCAAACAACUCACAACUCCUCCAAGAGAAUGGCUCGAACGGCUUGCCCGAGGUUCACCUUGAGCCACGAGUGAUGAUCAAUUCAAAUUCGACAGUUGAUAGUGAUAGUAGCAAUGACAAGGAAACUGACUUGCAAGAAACUAGUUUGGAGCAUAAUCUCCCUGACAGUCCCUUCGCCACGGCAUCGUACACGCCAAGUGGCAUCGAGGUCGACGAAUCGGAUGCCUCAACCGACAAUCAUUCUGCAGCUUCAUCCUUCGCUUCGACAUCAAACCUCGGCGCACCCUUCAAAUCCUUCAACUGCCAGUACCCUUCUGGCCAUGGAGCCAUCGGGUUGUAUGCAAGCACGGGCGGACCGACAUGUCGAGUCGGGAUUUAGCUUCCCCGUUUAGCUGAUCAUGUAAGUUCUACGUUCUUCAUUUCUCUUCCCUUAAGUGUCUUAAGAGCGCCCACAGUACCAAGGAUCUAAGAAUUACCACAGGAAUAGCAUUUAAAAUAACAGUAAAAAGAGACAGAGACAUUGAUUGACAUGAAGUUUUGAGUGUUUGGGCACUGUAAUUCUCUUACCAAUGUAAAUUAUUAAUCUUACAAGGUGAAUUCAUAAGCCAACAUGGUCAAAAUUCAGUCAUCUUUGUAUAUGAGAAGUGUUAAUGAUAAAAUUGGAUGUUCAAUGCUAAUAGGCUUUUAGAAAUAUUGGUAAAUUUGAUAUUAGUAA